rnacentral:tRNA from 1 species
GAGGGUAUAGCUCAAUGGUAGAGUGUGUGGUUAGCAUGCAUGAGUCCCAGGUUCAAUCCCCAGUACCCCA